AUUGAACGCUGGCGGCAGGCCUAACACAUGCAAGUCGAGCGGAGCGGCGGACGGGUGAGUAAUGCCUAUGUAUCUGCCUGGUAGUGGGGGCUAACGUCCGGAAACGGGCGCUAAUACCGCAUACUAUCAGAUGAGCCUAGGUGGGAUUAGGUAGUUGGUGGGGUAAAGGCCUACCAAGGCGACGAGCCGUAACUGGUCUGAGAGGAGGAUCAGUCACACUGGAAAUGAGACACGGUCCAGACACCUACGGGAGGCAGCAGUGGGGAAUAUUGGACAAUGGGGGAAAGCCGGAUCCAGCCAUGCCGCGUGUGGGAAGAAGGUCUUCGGAUUGUAAAGCACUUUAAGUUGGGAGGCGUUACCAACAGAAGAAGCACCGGCUAACUCCGUGCCAGCAGCCGCGGUAAUAC
rnacentral:rRNA from 1 species